rnacentral:lncRNA from 1 species
CGUAAUUUUUUUAUUAAACUAAAACAAAUAAAAAUACAUAUACAGACUUAGAAAGAAAGAAGAAACAAAAUAAUCUAAUUAUUAUUAAUAGAUGCAACAUCCUUACUCUGACAGCGGCCAACUCUCACUGUAUAUCAUGUACCUGCCUCUGCAGUUCCCGUACGUCAUCUCAUAAAAUAUCGACAUCCCACACUGGAUCGCCCAUAUCUAGAAUACAUAUAAAUUGACCAAAAAACAUGAAAAUAAAAGUAAAGAAAAGAAUCCGAAAGUAAUACAACGUAUAUUAACAUAAAAAUCAAGAAAAAAACUUACCAUAGAUAGGGAAAAGCAAUCAAGUUCUUGAAGAGAAAGUUGUUGAAGGUGUAAUAUAAAAGACAAGAGCAAGAAAUAAAUAGAUAUGUGUAGUAGAAUGAACGAGUAAGGAGGGACCUAUUUAUAGAGGAUUGAAUUUG